UAAUGGAAGGUUUCUGGGAAUCUUUUUAAGAGCUGGAGAUGUCUAUUACUGAUAGGAGUUAUGCAGUCAUUGAAGAGCUCAGCUGCCAGAGAGCUGCAGGAGGAGGUUAUGAGAAUGUAUAGCACCAGAGAUUGUGAAAAAGAGACUGGCAGAUCUUCAGAGAUCUCUGAGAGCUUGCAGCUUUUUGAGAUCAAACUUUCAACGCUAGUGGAGGGACUGACAGAGUCAGUGCCUGUGGAGACAGAAAGUGGCACUCCCAUAAUGGCCAAAGCUGGAAGCUGGUGACUUCUGACCCAAGGAGGCAGGCUCCAGGAAACCUUGCAACUUUGGAAUUGAUUCAUUAACCUCAUAAAGAAAAGGAAGCAGAAACAUUCUGAAAUGGAGUGUAUGAGCCAGGUGAACUUCACAAAUACACGAAGAGGAAGUGUUUCCAGUGAGAAACACUGGAAAGAGUUCACAAACAAUGCCUGUUUGUGAGACUCCACCUGCCAAUUUAGAUCUGCUAUCAAAGGAUGAUGCUGCUUGCCAGGGGUUCAUGUAUGGGAUGUUGUGGAGAAGCUGCUGAGGGUUUUCUGGUCACCAAAUUAUUACUCCUUGGUUCUAUUCCAUAUGGGUACUAGAGACACUGCCUGGGAAGACUUAGAGAACAUCUAAUGUGAUUACAUCAAUUUGGAGGAAAUGGCCAAGCGUAUGGCUGUCCAGUGAUUGUCUUUAACCCUCCUUGUGAUGGGAAGUGCCUGAGUAGGACUGAAAGGAUUCUCUGGGUCAACACUUGAUUGUGCAACUGUUGUCAACUACAGGGAUUUUGUUUCUACAACCAUGGGAUACUCUUCUAGAACUGACUAUUGCUCGUCUUAAAAAAAAAAAAAAAAAAAAAA